rnacentral:lncRNA from 1 species
CCAGGUGUGGGCAGGGACACCUCCAAAGGCUGCCUGAUUCUAAGUGCUAGGCCUUUUUUUGUCCAAGGGAUUUAUGCUCCCUGCCAACCCCUCCCUAGAAGAAAUGGCUUUUCUAGAGGAAGAAGCCUGCAGCCUUAAGGUUGAUUCCAAAGAUAGUUCUCCUAACUCAUGAACUCUGAAUUUGCAGCUGAAGCUGAAGGUCAGAAGGAUGGGAUGGAAGGACCAACCGAGGUCCAGAAAAGGAAGUGGAAUAGGCUUGGGACCAGGACUCCAAGGUGAUCUACCUGAAGGCUCUACAGGAC